AGGAAGGUAGUGUAGUUAACACCUGCAUUAUUUGACGUUACCUACACGAAGAAGCACCGGCUAACUCCGUGCCAGCAGCCGCGGUAAUACGGAGGGUGCGAGCGUUAAUCGGAAUUACUGGGCGUAAAGCGCAUGCAGGCGGCCUGUUAAGUCAGAUGUGAAAGACCCGGGGCGUUAACCUCGGAAAUUGCAUUUGUAAACUAGGCAGGCUAGAGUCUUGUAGAGGGGGGUAGGAAGUUUCAGGUGUAGCGGUGAAAUAGCGUAGAGAUCUGAAGGAAUACCAGUGGCGAAGGCGGCCCCCUCGGACAAAGACUGACGCUCAGAUGCGAAAGCGUGGGGAGCAAACAGGAUUAGAUACCCUGGUAG
rnacentral:rRNA from 1 species